AAACAGUAUUAGGCUCCUAUAUUCAUAUAUUCUUGGAUAGAUGAAGCUACAACACGGCAACUAAGCGAGUAAAAGAGAGA